CACUUCAAAUCAAGCUAUUUAUUGAUAUCACGAUUCGACAUAAAAUAAAUGAAAGAAUUUUACACAGACAAGGAAGAGCUAUUCGAUCAAUAAAGGGCGAGAAGUGGAUGUGAAGAAGAGCCGACGAUGCAGAUGAUUACCAUUGCUGAAAGUAAUAAAUUAUGCAACUAGCGAAUUUUGAAAAUUCAAAAUUCUAGAUUUUCCGUUUUUCAAAUUUUAGAAAUUCUAUAAAAUCGAAAUUUUUUGA
ensembl:antisense_RNA anr-58 ncRNA